rnacentral:rRNA from 1 species
GUAGGUGGGCAAGCGUUGUCCGGAAUUAUUGGGCGUAAAGCGCGCGCAGGGCGGUCCUUUAAGUCUGAUGUGAAAGCCCACGGCUCAACCGUGGAGGGUCAUUGGAAACUGGGGGACUUGAGUACAGAAGAGGAAAGCGGAAUUCCAAGUGUAGCGGUGAAAUGCGUAGAGAUUUGGAGGAACACCAGUGGCGAAGGCGGCUUUCUGGUCUGUAACUGACGCUGAGGCGCGAAAGCGUGGGGAGCAAACAGGAUUAAAUACCCUGGUAGUCCACGCCGUAAACGAUGAGUGCUAAGUGUUAGGGGGUUUCCGCCCCUUAGUGCUGCAGCUAACGCAUUAAGCACUCCGCCUGGGGAGUACGGCCGCAAAGGCUG